rnacentral:rRNA from 1 species
AGAGUUUGAUCCUGGCUCAGAUUGAACGCUGGCGGCAGGCCUAACACAUGCAAGUCGAGCGGUAACAUUCCUAGCUUGCUAGGAGAUGACGAGCGGCGGACGGGUGAGUAAUGCUUGGGGAUCUGCCUGAUGGAGGGGGACAACCACUGGAAACGGUGGCUAAUACCGCGUAAUGUCUACGGACCAAAGUGUGGGACCUUCGGGCCACACGCCAUCAGAUGAACCCAAGUGAGAUUAGCUAGUUGGUGGGGUAAAGGCUCACCAAGGCGACGAUCUCUAGCUGGUUUGAGAGGAUGAUCAGCCACACUGGGACUGAGACACGGCCCAGACUCCCACGGGAGGCAGCAGUGGGGAAUAUUGGACAAUGGGGGCAACCCUGAUCCAGCCAUGCCGCGUGUGUGAAGAAGGCCUUCGGGUUGUAAAGCACUUUCAGCGAGGAGGAAGGGGGUAGUGUUAAUAGCACUGUUUCUUGACGUUACUCGCAGAAGAAGCACCGGCUAACUCUGUGCCAGCAGCCGCGGUAAUACAGAGGGUGCAAGCGUUAAUCGGAAUUACUGGGCGUAAAGCGCACGCAGGCGGUUUGUUAAGUCAGAUGUGAAAGCCCCGGGCUCAACCUGGGAAUUGCAUUUGAAACUGGCAAGCUAGAGUACGAGAGAGGGGGGUAGAAUUCCACGUGUAGCGGUGAAAUGCGUAGAGAUGUGGAGGAAUACCGGUGGCGAAGGCGGCCCCCUGGCUCGAUACUGACGCUCAGGUGCGAAAGCGUGGGGAGCAAACAAGAUUAGAUACCCUGGUAGUCCACGCCGUAAACGAUGUCUACUAGCUGUUCGAGGUCUUGUACUUUGGGUAGCGCAGCUAACGCAUUAAGUAGACCGCCUGGGGAGUACGGUCGCAAGAUUAAAACUCAAAUGAAUUGACGGGGGCCCGCACAAGCGGUGGAGCAUGUGGUUUAAUUCGACGCA